UCACAACCACCCCAGAGAGAAGCAAGGGAUCUAGACUGCCACAGUCAAUCUCUUUAAACAAGCAUGCGACCCUGACUCUCUUCCACAGACCUCAGCAGGAGGCUUUGCUGUGGGGGCUUGGCUCACUCUCAGCCACCUAGAAGAAAAGCCUGGACAGUACUCAUCACCCCCUCCACUGUGGACAACUGAGUCACUCUGCAGAGCACCUGUCACUCCACUGGGGCUCCCUUGAAGCCAGGAUCCCCCUCAUCUAAGAUCAAAGGAACGAAGGGGUCACCCACCCCCCAGCACACCACAAUACAAAGAGCUAAUAAAGAGAUGCCAUCAGCUAUGGGCAGGAGGAGAGAUUUCCAGAACCCCAAACAGAGGGCACGCAAGGGAAGGCCCAGGCUGCACCUCCCCUUUUUGCUUUCCGAUGCUGCAGCACUGCCAGAUGGGAUGCUGGAAUUCCUGAGCCUUGUGCUAUGCAGUAAAGAUGCGACCAGGUUGAAAGCUCCUGUAGUUCCUUUUUCUGCUGCUUUUCCAUAUUGUCAAUUGGUUCCCUGCUGAGAGAAUGGAAUUCCUUUGAGUGGGAACGGGGUCCACCCUGAGAUGCUGCCUGAGAUUUCUCCCUUUGCUCCUGAUUAGGUUACCCCGGCGGUAUCACACACCAGAAAGGGCAUGCCUCUUCUCUUACUGGCUUGGCAGCAGAAGCCACUGAUGGUU